rnacentral:misc_RNA from 1 species
AAGUCGUAACAAGGUAACCGUAGGUGAACCUGCGGUUGGAUCAUUAAAAUAUUUUCUUAUUUUUCCUUGACUCUUUAACUAGGGUUUUAAGGAAGAAUUAACCCCAUUUGUGAACUUUUUAUUGUAUUUUUGGGUAGGGUGGUUUUUUAUAACCGUUAACAAGAUGAGAAAGACUAGUCUUUUUUUUUCUUACCUUGCCCAACUUUAAAUAAGCACUAGUAGAAUAAACUUGUCUAAAAACAGAAAUUUUUUAAAAUAUUAAAAAACAACUUUUGACAACGGAUCUCUAGGCUCUC